UACGAAGGGGGCUAGCGUUGCUCGGAAUCACUGGGCGUAAAGCGCACGUAGGCGGAUCUUAAAGUCAGGGGUGAAAUCCUGGAGCUCAACUCCAGAACUGCCUUUGAUACUGGGGAUCUCGAGUCCGGAAGAGGUGAGUGGAACUCCGAGUGUAGAGGUGAAAUUCGUAGAUAUUCGGAAGAACACCAGUGGCGAAGGCGGCUCACUGGUCCGGUACUGACGCUGAGGUGCGAAAGCGUGGGGAGCAAACAGG
rnacentral:rRNA from 1 species